rfam:Gossypium arboreum cultivar AKA8401 contig_58519_1, whole genome shotgun sequence.
AUCUCGUAAUGAGGACAUUUAUAAAGUAAUUCCUUGAAUCUUUCCCAUGCCUCAUAGAAAGAUUCGUCAUCCAAUUGCUGGAAAGUAGUUAUCUGAUUUCACAACUU